UUAACUUAAGGGAGUACUUCCUUGAUUCUAUAAUUGAUUGAUUAUGAGUUCUUAAAUUAAUAUAUUACGAUGAUUUUUUUACCUUCAGUACCUACUUUCAACUAUAAAUACCCUAUAUCUUUCACAAAAAAAAGCAACGAACACUUUUAGUUCUGAACUUACACUUACACUCAAACACUCUCUUAAUUUACUACUUGCAUAGUGGCUUUUUUAGCCAGUUGAAAGCUAAGGCUAUAUUUUGAAGUCCUGCUACUGUUCUUUACUGCAUUUUUUCUUCUUUAACUGGUCUGUUCUAAUUAAUCUUUUAGUAUCAACAAUAACAUGAUUACUUGAUAUUCUUGCAUUCUGCCUACUGCUUGUAUCUAAUUUAGUACCUUCAUUUAACAUGCUGUAAUUUCUGAAUUAAUGUAGUAUGAACCCUAAAUCCCAACCCAAUGUGUUUUAAUACUUAUUGGUUGUUUGGGGCAUGACAACAUCGAAUAUUGGUGAGCAUGACUCAAACUUGAUCCUUUCUAGGAUCAUAACCUCUAUGUUGCCCUUAUAUGUUGUGUGCUCUGGUUGAUUUGCAAGCAUGACAACACUCCCUAUUGAUGUGCAUGCCCAGAAUUAACUUAUGUCUAAGUAUAUAGGCUCCUUGCAAUGGAUUCCCAAUCCUUUACCCCAUUGGUGUGAAAUUAUCAACUCCUUGAAGUGUUAAUGGUUGUCCCUCAAUCACUCUUUCCCCCUCCUUUAUUCCCCCAUCCCUUAGAACUCUGUUGCUGCACUCUCACUAUCUUCUUAGAACUUAAAUUCUGACCCCCUCAAGUGAGCCCUGCCUUGAGACCCAUGAGCUCAAUCUGAACUUAGACACAUGAGGGCUGGUAUUUCCAAACUGCACUUGUCCUUAUUCUGGUAAUGUAAUUUGGGGGUGAGCACUGCCCGAGACCCUAUUGAGGCCCUUAGGGAACUCUGACACAUUCAAGUUUGAGAAAGGCUUUGAAGCAAUGACAAUUUAAGACAGUUUAUUCCAUAGCUCAAGGAGGAACCAAGAAUCUGACCUCAUCUAGUUGUAUUUUAUUUAUUUUUGAUGUAUUCAGUAUUCCUAGUUUGUAAUAAGUUUGUAAUAAACGUUUGGGGCUGGCUAGAAAAAGAGUUGGGUAUUUAUGCAUGUCAAG
rnacentral:lncRNA from 1 species